rnacentral:rRNA from 1 species
UACGUAGGUGACAAGCGUUGUCCGGAUUUACUGGGCGUAAAGAGCGCGCAGGCGGUCGUUCAAGUCGAGUGUGAAAGCCCCCGGCUCAACUGGGGAGGGUCACUCGAUACUGAUCGACUUGAAGGCAGGAGAGGGUAGUGGAAUUCCCGGUGUAGUGGUGAAAUGCGUAGAUAUCGGGAGGAACACCAGUGGCGAAGGCGACUACCUGGCCUGUUCUUGACGCUGAGGCGCGAAAGCUAGGGGAGCAAACGGG